rnacentral:rRNA from 1 species
CACAUGCAAGUCGAACGGAGUGAAACGCUGGUUUGAUGGUAGCUUGCUACUGGAUUUCCUGUUUCACUUAGGUGGCGGACGGGUGAGUAACGCGUGAGUAACCUGCCUUACANAGGGGGGACAACAGUUGGAAACGACUGCUAAUACCGCAUAACGUAGCGAGAGGGCAUCCUCUUGUUACCAAAGGAGCAAUCCGCUGUAAGAUGGACUCGCGUCCAAUUAGAUAGUUGGUGAGGGUAAUGGCUCACCAAGUCGACGAUUGGUAGCCGGACUGAGAGGUUGAACGGCCACAUUGGGACUGAGACACGGCCCAGACUCCUACGGGAGGCAGCAGUGGGGGAUAUUGCACAAUGGAGGAAACUCUGAUGCAGCAACGCCGCGUGAGGGAAGAAGGUUUUCGGAUUGUAAACCUCUGUUUUUAGUGAAGAAACAAAUGACGGUAGCUAAAGAGGAAGCCACGGCUAACUACGUG